rnacentral:rRNA from 1 species
GAUGAACGCUGGCGGCGUGCCUAAUACAUGCAAGUCGAGCGAACGGACGCGGAGCUUGUUUCGCUGAUGUUAGCGGCGGACGUGUGAGUAACACGUGGAACACCUACCUAUAAGACUGGGAUAACUUCGGGAAACCGGAGCUAAUCCCGGAUAAUCUCUUGAAGCGCAUGGUUCAAUGGUGAAAGACGGUGUUGCUGUCACUACUAGAUGCAUCCGGGCUGCAUUAGCUAGUUGGUAAGGUAACGGCUUACCAAGGCAACGAUGCAUAGCAGACCUGAGAGAGUGAUAGGCGACACGGGAACUGGGACGCCGUCAAGGGUACUGAGGGAGGCAGCAGUAGGGAAUCUGACGCAGUGGGCGGGAACAUGGCGGAACGAGCGGGCGUGAGAUAUGAAGACGUUCGGAGCGUAAUACUCUGUUAUUAGGUAAGAACAGAUGUGGAAGGAGCUGUAGCGAGCUUGACGGUACCUAAUCAGAAAGCAACGGCUAACUACGUG